UAUGUAGGGGGCAAGCGUUGUCCGGAUUUAUUGGGCGUAAAGAGCGUGUAGGCGGUUUGGUAGGUCCGCUGUGAAAACUCGAGGCUCAACCUCGAGACGCCGGUGGAAACCAUCAGACUAGAGUCCGGAAGAGGAGAGUGGAAUUCCUGGUGUAGCGGUGAAAUGCGCAGAUAUCAGGAAGAACACCCGUGGCUAAGGCGGCUCUCUAGUACGGUACUGACGCUGAGACGCGAAAGCGUGGGGAGCGAACAGG
rnacentral:rRNA from 1 species